AUGGACAUUUACAAGAACAAGGAGCUAUUCUGGCAGCGUCGAGGGAACUGGCUUCUCAAGGGGGAUGCGAACACUGCCUACUUCCAGGCGAUUGCUAAUAUUCGCAGGCGUAAGUGUGCCAUCCCGUUCCUUUGGGAUGGGGAUGUUCUUCUGGAAAGCCCAGAGGACAUCUCCACCCAUAUUUACUCCUUUUAUAAGGAGUUGUUUUCGGCUGAGCCGCGUGGAGGCGUCUCUCUCUGUGCUGACUUCUGGCCGCCUACUGACCAGGUCUCCGAUGCGGAGAAUGCAGAACUUACUCUCCCAUUCUCCCCUGAGGAGGUGGGUCGAGCGAUCGCGUCUAUGAAAGCGUGCUCGGUCCCGGCCCGGAUGGCCUCCUGGUAG
rnacentral:rRNA from 1 species